rnacentral:rRNA from 1 species
UACGUAGGUGACAAGCGUUAUCCGGAAUUACUGGGCGUAAAGCGCACGCAGGCGGCUUCGCAAGUCUGACGUGAAAUCUCUCGGCUUAACCGGGAGCGGUCGUUGGAAACUAUGCGGCUUGAGGCGAUGAGAGGGGUGUGGAAUUCCCGGUGUAGUGGUGGAAUGCGUAGAUAUCGGGAGGAACAUCAGUGGCGAAAGCGGCACCCUGGCAUUAGCCUGACGCUCAGGUGCGAAAGCGUGGGGAGCGAACGGG